rnacentral:lncRNA from 10 species
GAGUGAAGGAACAUGGCUCUGAAUCAUGCCUGUCUGUCUCCCCAGGUCUGUGCUUAAAACCACGAAGUUCAAGAUGGAAACUGAAGGGAAGAGUGUCAAGGGGAUGGGAGAGAGGACUUGUCCAUGACUUUGGCAGCAUAAGGAAAAAAUACCCAGGGACAAGUGGCGACUUUGGAAACUCCAUUCCUCUGCAAAAUGACAUCACGAGGAGAGUGGUGGGGCCUGCGGAUGAAAAGAUCUGGCUUCUCCUCCCAACUCUGCUAUGAGGAAGCGCUGGAUGGCCCUGUCGGCCGCGGUCAUCGCCGCCUCGGCCCGGGAGCUCAGCAUUGCAGCCGCACCGGAGGCCUGAAACCGUCUCCUCCGCUACCGCCGCCGCCGCCGCCGGACCGAGGGAUACGACGGUUCCCGAGACAGCGGAACCUGCGGCCGCAGUCCCAGCACCUCGGGGGAACGUAGACCGCAGGACAGCUCCCAGGGGGACCGGAAGUAGCUGCCCCCGGAGAGCAAUAGCUGACGGACCACGUCCUUUCUUUCUUUUCCCUUAGCAACAGGCCCCGGCGUCGGUUGCUACGCUGGGCUCAGUUGCCUGGGGCUGCUUGGUUUUCAGAUUUGCUUAGGCUCCAUUCAUAAAUACAGAUGGCACACUUCUAGGAUGG